rnacentral:rRNA from 1 species
GCGCAGCAGGCGCGAAUCUCUCCAAUGUGUGAAAACAUGAGAGGGGUAUUCCAAGUUCCCUUGUUAUGCAAGGGAUUUUCUUUGGUCCAAGACGCCAAAGGAAUAAGAGCUGGGUAAGACCGGUGCCAGCCGCCGCGGUAACACCGGCAGCUCGAGUGGUGGCCACUAUUAUUGGGCCUAAAGCGUUCGUAGCCGGGCAGGUAAGUGCUCUAGUAAAUCCCAUAACUUAAUUAUGGGGCUUCAGAACAUACUGCCUGCCUUGAGACCGGGAGAGGCUGGAGGUACUUUC